GCAUGAGCCACUGCCCCCCAGCCAAGGCCCUUCCCUCUCUAACCUCAUCUUUGAUUACUUCUCACCAUCCAGCCCCAUUAGCUUCCUGCUGUUCUUGAAACAGGCACAUUCACACCUUAGAGCCUUGUUCUUCUCACUGCCUGAACUGCUUCCUUCCCCAGCUGUCUUCGUGGCUCUGUCCCUCAUCUCAAAAGGCACCUAAUCAAGGCCUUCCUUGGCUACCCCAUUUCAAAACUGGAAGCCUUCUCUCAUGUUCCCCACCCCCAUUGGCUUUUCUCCUUAUUAUUUCUCACCAUCUAACUAACAUAUAUUUAAUUUAUAUUUCUUAUUUACUGACUGCCAAUUCCACAAAGUCAAGGAUUUUUGUCUUUUUCAUUUACUUGUUUUUGGACUUGACCAUGCCUCAGUGUGUGGAGCAGGACCUCAACUCAGCGUGCACUGUCUCACUUAAAAUACCCCCAGGAGGAGGAUACCAUUACCUCCACCCACAGUGAGAUGUGGAGCUCAGAGAAGUUGAGUCACUUGUACAAGUUCAUAUAGCUACUAAGUGUGUUUCAGAUGUGAGUUAUUCACAUCCAAACCCAUGUUCUUUCUACCCUGAGGCGCCAUCUGUCUUAGUAGGGUUUAUUUUUUGUCAUUUAAAAAACUAAUGUGGGCAUGGCUGGGAAACAAGUUUCUGCUUCGAUUACAUCAGAAACUACAGAUCCAGACAUUCUCUUAUGCCUUUGCUGACAUUCAGUGCAGCAUUCAGUAAGUACUGAUGCAUGUCAUUUGCUUAUUUACUUAUCAAUUCAUUUACACAGUAUUUAUUGAACACAGUCUUUAUACCCCGCAAUGUUUUAGGCCCUGAAUUUAUGGUCUUGAACAAAAUAGACAGAUACCAAGUAAAUAUGAAAUAUAAUAUCAGAUAGCGAUAAGGAGUAUGAGAUGAUAUAAGGCAGGGUGAGGGGAGAGAGAACUUGGGGGCUACUUUAGAUUGGGAGGUUGGUCGGGUGCGGUGGCUCACACCUGUAAUCCCAGCACUUUGGGUGGUGGAGGUGGGAUCAUCUGAGGUCAGGAGUUCGAGACUAGCCUAGCCAACAUG
rnacentral:lncRNA from 10 species